CAGCGGAAGAGGCAGGAUGUCGAGAGUGUCCAGAAAUAAUUCAUCCGGUUGAGGCGCCUGAUAACGAGGCACUAUUGAUGGCCGUUGCUGGUAUCGGCGCCGCGUUGAUUGUGCUCGUUCGAGGAAGCAUUCGGGAAGCGAACAUAGAUUAAAGCGUGGCUUCGAGCGUGGCGUGACAGAACAUCAAAAUGGAAACGCGUUCGCAGUCAACGCCCAGUCGUACGGAGGGGGCAUUCGACGGGUACCCGGAGACUUCUCGGAGGGUCGGCCGGGUGGACUGGUACCUGGAGGCGGCUUCGGCGGAGAGGUAGCCGGUGGCUUUCCGGGCGGCUAUCCCGAGCGAGGUCCUGAAAGGUUUCCAGAAGCCGUGUCGGGAAGCUAUCCCGGCAGGAGGCCGGAAAGAUUUCCAGGUCGGGAUGUCUACCCAGGAGGCUUCCCGGGUGGAACUAACCCGACACUUUGCGGAGAUCGCAUCUGCCCCAUUGGAACUCGUUGUGUGGUGCACCAGGCUCGUUGUGUGCGACAGCCGUGCAAGCCUAUCCGAACUUGUGUCUCCUAGGAGAUGCACCAUUAUGCACGUCAAGACUCCAGAAACCUGAUAUCUACAAGCAAUUCUCAAAACAUGUUAAAUAAAAGGAAGUUCUGGCUACGGUUCGACUCGUAAUUACACCUUAUGCUUAACUGUUCAUUUGACUUCCGACGACGUCAGGUUGGCAUGCAGUAAACGGCUGAAGUUAACGUUUCUUUGUUCACCUGAAGUGUGGUUUAUUCUGACUGUUGGCCAUAUAACGCUAGGUGAAUAGAGUAGCCGCUGGCAGACUUCUGGUAGCGAAUCCGGAGUUGAUCGAGCUCUGAUUGGUGCCGCAAGCGCCUGAAUAUGUACUCUAAGACCACAAGCCUGAUUGAGUGUCAUAGGCUAAUUGGUAUAUAGGUGCAAGUUGACACAGUUAUUGCCAAUAAUCGAUUUGUUCUUCAAGGCAUAUGCAUCUGCUUUUCGUAAGGAUGUCCCUCCAAAGUAGCUCUAGAAAGAAUGGAAUUUUGGGCUGGCCGAAGAAAGCACAAUAAAUUUGUUCUCGUUGCG